rnacentral:rRNA from 1 species
GAUGAACGCUGGCGGCGUGCCUAAUACAUGCAAGUCGAGCGAACAGACGAGGAGCUUGCUCCUCUGACGUUAGCGGCGGACGGGUGAGUAACACGUGGAUAACCUACCUAUAAGACUGGGAUAACUUCGGGAAACCGGAGCUAAUACCGGAUAAUAUAUUGAACCGCAUGGUUCAAUAGUGAAAGACGGUUUUGCUGUCACUUAUAGAUGGAUCCGCGCCGCAUUAGCUAGUUGGUAAGGUAACGGCUUACCAAGGCAACGAUGCGUAGCCGACCUGAGAGGGGAUCGGCCACACUGGAACUGAGACACGGUCCAGACUCCUACGGGAGGCAGCAGUAGGGAAUCUUCCGCAAUGGGCGAAAGCCUGACGGAGCAACGCCGCGUGAGUGAUGAAGGUCUUCGGAUCGUAAAACUCUGUUAUUAGGGAAGAACAAAUGUGUAAGUAACUAUGCACGUCUUGACGGUACCUAAUCAGAAAGCCACGGCUAACUACGUG